rnacentral:rRNA from 1 species
AGUGAACGCUGGCGGCAGGCCUAACACAUGCAAGUCGAGCGGCAGCGCGGGUAGCAAUACCUGGCGGCGAGCGGCGGACGGGUGAGGAAUACAUCGGAAUCUACCUUGUCGUGGGGGAUAACGUAGGGAAACUUACGCUAACACCGCAUACGACCGAGAGGUGAAAGUGGGGGACCGCAAGGCCUCACGCGACUAGAUGA